rnacentral:tRNA from 1 species
GAAGAAAUGGCUGAGUGGUUGAUAACCCCGGUCUUGAAAAACAGUAUAGUUUUAUACUUUUAUACAAAGAACUAUCGGAGGUUCAAAUUCCUCUCUUUCCA